rnacentral:rRNA from 1 species
CCUACGGGUGGCAGCAGUGAGGAAUAUUGGUCAAUGGACGCAAGUCUGAACCAGCCAUGCCGCGUGCAGGAAGACGGCGCUAUGAGUUGUAAACUGCGUUUGUACGAGGGUAAACGCAGAUACGCGUAUCUGUCUGAAAGUAGCGUACGAAGAAGGAACGGCUAACUCCGUGCCAGCAGCCGCGGUAAGACGGAGGAUUCAAGCGUUAUCCGGAUUUAUUGGGUUUAAAGGGUGCGUAGGCGGUCGGAUAAGGUAGAGGUGAAAUCCCGAGGCUCAACUUCGGAAUUGCCUCUGAUACUGUUCGGCUCGAGCGUAGUUGCGGUAGGCGGCAUGUCUGGUGUAGCGGU